UGCGAUGGCAACCGCAGGCAGCGCAUUUUAUGGAGGUGGGGUCGUUGUGGUUAGAGGUGGGAGAAGGCAUGAACUCUCCACAGCCAUCUAGUGCAUGACCACCUAAAGUAGCUGCGUGGUUCUUGAGGCAUUCCUUGUAAGUUAUGUCUACCGGCGGAGCAGAAAGAUGGUGGCUGUAGUGGUGAUGGUGGUGGGGAUUGUGGCGCUUGAGAACACCAUUGGUAAGGGAUAAAGGCUUAGCAGAUUGGAUCCGGAUAGGCGUUUCCGUUUCCUGGUCAGGGGAUUUGGCAGUUGGGUUAUUUGUGAUGGUAUUGUUGUUGGUGGUGGAGGUGGUUGAUGGGGCUAUGUCCAUAGCUCAAACAUUUAAUUCGAGUGUUAUGGAAAAUAAAUAAAGAAAUUAAAGAAAAAGGAAGAAAGAGAGAAAUGAAAGAAAGAUUUAUGAAGGGUGGAGGUGGUUUAUGCAAUUAGGGUUUUGUAACGGUUGGUGGUGAUGUUGGCAGCCAUGGCAGUG
rnacentral:misc_RNA from 1 species